rnacentral:rRNA from 1 species
AAUGGGUCAGCGACUUAGUCUGGCGAGCAAGCUUAAGCCGUUAGGUGUAGGCGUAGCGAAAGCGAGUCUGAACAGGGCGUUCAGUUCGUCGGAUUAGACCCGAAACCGGGUGAUCUAGCCAUGAGCAGGUUGAAGGUAAGGUAACACUUACUGGAGGACCGAACCGGUGCCUGUUGAAAAAGUCUCGGAUGACUUGUGGCUAGGGGUGAAAGGCCAAUCAAACUCGGAAAUAGCUGGUUCUCCGCGAAAGCUAUUUAGGUAGCGCCUCGCGUGAAUACUCUCGGGGGGUAGAGCACUGGAUGGGUGCGGGGUACUUACCGUAUUACCAAACCUAACCAAACUCCGAAUACCGAGAAGUACUGCGCGGGAGACACACGGCGGGUGCUAACGUCCGUCGUGGAGAGGGAAACAACCCUGACUUACAGCUAAGGCCCCUAAUUCGUGGCUAAGUGUGAAAGGAUGUGGGAAUCCCAAAACAACCAGGAGGUUGGCUUAGAAGCAGCCAUCCUUUAAAGAAAGCGUAACAGCUCACUGGUCUAAAUAAGGGUUCCUGCGCCGAAAAUGUAACGGGGC